CGGUCGGCUGUCGGGGCUGCGGCGUCUGGGCGGGCCAGUUGGCGUUCAGACUCUGAGUGGUGUGCGUGUCCAAUAAAGCCUUAUUAAGCCACGGGAAGGUCGGCCUUGGGAAGACCAAGCUGUUCCGGGUGAUCUUCCACGCUGUCAACCUGAACCCGACGGUGACCUGCCAAGAAAAGGAUCUCGAAAAGGCCGUCGGCAAGUGGCUGACAAACUGCCGCGACCGUGACGGCCAGCGAUCAGACCGGGGGCGAGGCCGUCCGCCCGCCCAGUGACUGUGUCUCGAUGAGCGCAGAAAGAAAUACAGGACUGUGCCUGAU